rnacentral:rRNA from 1 species
UACGGAGGGUGCAAGCGUUAAUCGGAAUUACUGGGCGUAAAGCGCACGCAGGCGGCUUGUUAAGUCGGAUGUGAAAGCCCCGGGCUCAACCUGGGAAUUGCAUUCGAUACUGGCAAGCUAGAGUAUGUGAGAGGGGGGUAGAAUUCCAAGUGUAGCGGUGAAAUGCGUAGAGAUUUGGAGGAAUACCAGUGGCGAAGGCGGCCCCCUGGCACACUACUGACGCUCAGGUGCCAAAGCGUGGGGAGCAAACAGG